UACGUAGGUGGCAAGCGUUGUCCGGAAUUAUUGGGCGUAAAGGGCGUGUAGGUGGAUUCUUAAGUCGUGUGUCUAAGUGCGGAGCUCAACUUCGUAUAGGCGCAGGAAACUGGGAAUCUUGAGUGCAGGAGAGGAAAGUGGAAUUCCCAGUGUAGCGGUGAAAUGCGUAGAUAUUGGGAGGAACACCAGUGGCGAAGGCGACUUUCUGGACUGUGUCUGACACUGAGGCGCGAAAGCUAGGGGAGCGAACGGG
rnacentral:rRNA from 1 species